GACGUAGGGUGCAAGCGUUGUCCGGAUUUAUUGGGCGUAAAGAGCUCGUAGGCGGCUUGUUGCGUCGACUGUGAAAACCCGCGGCUUAACUGCGGGCUUGCAGUCGAUACGGGCAGGCUAGAGUUCGGUAGGGGAGACUGGAAUUCCUGGUGUAGCGGUGAAAUGCGCAGAUAUCAGGAGGAACACCAAUAGCGAAGGCAGCUCGCUGGGACGUUACUGACACUGAGGCGCGAAAGCGUGGGGAGCGAACAGG
rnacentral:rRNA from 1 species